CCUACGGGAGGCAGCAGUGAGGAAUAUUGGACAAUGGGCGAAAGCCCGAUCCAGCAACGCCGCGUGGAGGAUGAAGGCCUUCGGGUCGUAAACUUCUUUAGAGGGAGACGAGAAAGGACGGUAUCCCUAGAAUAAGCGACGGCAAACUACGUGCCAGCAGCCGCGGUAACACGUAGGUCGCGAGCGUUAUCCGGAUUUACUGGGCGUAAAGCGCUUGUAGGCGGUUCUGUAAGUCGGGCGUGAAAUCUCCGGGCUUAACCCGGAGUGGCCGUUCGAUACUGCAGGGCUUGAGGAUGCUAGAGGGUGGUGGAAUUCCAGGUGUAGUGGUGAAAUGCGUAGAUAUCUGGAGGAACAUCCGUGGCGAAGGCGGCCACCUGGGGCAUUCCUGACGCUGAGAAGCGACAGCUAGGGGAUCAAACGGGAUUAGAAACCCCGGUAGUCCUAGCCGUAAACGAUGGACGCUAGGUGUUGGCAGAUCUAACCCUGUCUGCGCCGAAGCAAACGCGUUAAGCGUCCCGCCUGGGAACUACGGUCGCAAGAUUAAAACUCAAAUGAAUUGACGGAAU
rnacentral:rRNA from 1 species